CGCCAGACUCCUACGGGAGGCAGCAGUGGGGAAUAUUGCACAAUGGGGGAAACCCUGAUGCAGCGACGCCGCGUGAGUGAAGAAGUAUUUCGGUAUGUAAAGCUCUAUCAGCAGGGAAGAAAAUGACGGUACCUGACUAAGAAGCCCCGGCUAACUACGUGCCAGCAGCCGCGGUAAUACGUAGGGGGCAAGCGUUAUCCGGAUUUACUGGGUGUAAAGGGAGCGUAGGUGGCAUGGUAAGCCAGAAGUGAAAACCCGGGGCUCAACCCCGCGGAUUGCUUUUGGAACUAUCAGGCUGGAGUGCUGGAGGGGUAAGCGGAAUUCCUAGUGUAGCGGUGAAAUGCGUAGAUAUUAGGAGGAACACCGGUGGCGAAGGCGGCUUACUGGACAGAAACUGACACUGAGGCUCGAAAGCGUGGGGAGCAAACAGGAUUAGAUACCCGAGUA
rnacentral:rRNA from 1 species